rnacentral:rRNA from 1 species
GACGAACGCUGGCGGCGUGCCUAAUACAUGCAAGUAGAACGCUGAAGGAGGAGCUUGCUUCUCUGGAUGAGUUGCGAACGGGUGAGUAACGCGUAGGUAACCUGCCUGGUAGCGGGGGAUAACUAUUGGAAACGAUAGCUAAUACCGCAUAAGAGUAGAUGUUGCAUGACAUUUGCUUAAAAGGUGCAAUUGCAUCACUACCAGAUGGACCUGCGUUGUAUUAGCUAGUUGGUGGGGUAACGGCUCACCAAGGCGACGAUACAUAGCCGACCUGAGAGGGUGAUCGGCCACACUGGGACUGAGACACGGCCCAGACUCCUACGGGAGGCAGCAGUAGGGAAUCUUCGGCAAUGGACGGAAGUCUGACCGAGCAACGCCGAGUGAGUGAAGAAGGUUUUCGGAUCGUAAAGCUCUGUUGUAAGAGAAGAACGAGUGUGAGAGUGGAAAGUUCACACUGUGACGGUAUCUUACCAGAAAGGGACGGCUAACUACGUG